UGCCAAUUGCGCACUCCCUCAAAAUUGAGACAUCUGUGGCAUUGUGUUGUGUGACAAAAUUGCACUCUUAAAUGUGCAACUUGCACAUUUUAAGAGUGGCCUUUUAUUGUCCCCAGCACCUGUGUAAUGAUCAUGCUGUUUAAUAAGCUUCUUGAUAUGCCGCACAUGUCAGGUGGAUGGAUUAUCUUCGCGAAGGAGAAAUGCCCACUAACAAGGAGGUUAACAAAUUUAAGAGAAAUAAGCUUUUUGUGCAAAUGGCACAUUUCUAAGAUCUUUUAUUUCAGCUCAGGAAACAUUGGGACCAACAACUUACAUAUUGUGUUUAUAUUUUUUAUUCAGUGUGUGUGUAUACAAUUUUUUUUCUCUGCAUUCUUUUUACGCACAAAACCAUUUAAGCAACAUGGAUGUUGAUCCAGGAGGGUAUUGAAUGUCUCUAAUCUGGGUACCAGUCUUUUUAGCUAACAUGCCACUUGAUGUCAUUGCCAAAGAGACUGGCCAUAAGACAAUCUCAACGUUCAAUAUGCAGCUGGUUUUACGGCGGAGCUGCUCAUUGGUUGUUGGAAAUAACAUUUAUUUUCCAUGACAACAUGUGGAACCUCAAAUAGAAUUAUAAAGUCAAAAACAACCAUUUAGCGUUUAGAUAGACAAGUUAUUUUAUUUUUAGAAAAUCUUUUUGAGGUUGGAAUUGCAGGAUGUAUUUAGUUUGAGAAUUCAGACGUGAGUUAGCAACCUUUGACAGACUGGUUUUGUCUGGACAAACAAAAACCACAUACCAACGUGUUCUGUGGAGAAAAAGUUCCUGUAUUUUGAUAAUUGUUUUUAUUAGAGUAUAGCUUUUUGGGCCCCCCGAGUGACGCAGCGGUCUAAGGCACUGCAUCUCAGUGCAGGAGACGUCACUACAAUCCCUGGUUCGAAUCCAGGCUGUAUCGCAUCCAGCCGUGAUUAAGAGUCCCAUAGGGCGCUGCGCAAUUGGACCGGGUUUGGCUGGGAUAGGCCGUCAUUGUAAAUAAGAAUUUGUUCUUAACUGACUUGCCUCGUUAAAUAAAAAAAUAGCUCUGAGGGUCAUCAAAUCAGGAUCAACUCAUCUGUUCUCCUCGCGCUCAUUAAUGAUAUAGUUAUACUUAACUUAUAGUUAGUUAUAAGCAGUGUCGUAGCAUGCACCCCCACAUUCCCGUAAUUCUGGUGUCACUACAUCAUAACCUACUCUUCUGUUGCUGUCUCUGUCUUGUCUGGUGUCUCUCCAUCAUAUCCUACUCUUCUGUUGCUGUCUCUGUCUUGUCUGGUGUCUCUCCAUCAUAUCCUACUCUUCUGUUGCUGUCUCUGUCUUGUCUGGUGUCUCUCCAUCAUAUCCUACUCUUCUGUUGCUGUCUCUGUCUUGUCUGGUGUCCCUCCAUCAUAUCCUACUCUUCUGUUGCUGUCUCUGUCUUGUCUGGUGUCUCGCCAUCAUAUCCUACUCUUCAGUUGCUGUCUCUGUCUUGUCUGGUGUCCCUCCAUCAUAUCCUACUCUUCAGUUGCUGUCUCUGUCUUGUCUGGUGUCCCUCCAUCAUAUCCUACUCUUCUGUUGCUGUUUCUGUCUUGUCUGGUGUCCCUCCAUCAUAUGCUACUCUUCUGUUGCGGUCUCUGUCUUGUCUGGUGUCCCUCCAUCAUAUGCUACUCUCCUGUUGCUGUCUCUGUCUUGUCUGUGUGGUUGGUGGGUGUGAGUGAGUGUGUGUGGGGUUAGGGAUUGCAGGGGGCUUCUGACAUCUAAAGCAGAGUCGUGUAUGCUUGGUAAACGACUAUAAACAGUUCUGAGUGCAGUCUGUCAUCGCUCCAGGGGAAGUUGUUGUACAACUCUCCCCCUCAAAUGGGCAUUAAAAAUUCAUCCUUCACAGGCUGCUCAAUAUUUAAUGAAUCGUCUGCUAAUUGGCUGAGGAUAAAAGCCUGCUUAACUGGGCUAAGCGUUUCAGAUUAAAACAUUUUAAAGAUUGGGAAAAGAAAGGAAACACCGAUACACAGUGUCAGGAGACUGAGCUCUCUGCAUCUUCACAUGUUCAUCCUUAUUACCCCCUUACACUGCCUUAUAUAGCCAGAGUGUUACACCCCCAAAGUAGGAGUGUGUGUGAUUUGUGUAUGAGAAAGGAGUAAGUGUGUGUUUAUUUGCUUGUGUAUUUUUUUGUGUUUGUGCAUGUUGUUCCCAGGGGUGUGGGUAUCGUUGUUGUGUGUGUGUGCAUUCCCAAUCAGUCACUCAGCAUCUGACUUAGUUGGGGUGUUUAGCGGCGAGCAAGAUGAAAGAUCAUUGUGUGAGCAAACACUUGAGUUGAGAGAGAAUCAGUGUGGUCGAGGGAGCAGAGGACGGGUCCCGCCAGCGCAGGCCAGCGUGGUGCACGCAAAUUAAACUUGAGAGCUUGCGAGUAUGACUUUGAGCGAACAGAACUGCAUUGUCGCACGCAAUAAAUUAAUUGGAGAGCAGGGAUUUUUAUUCCCCUGACUACAUGUCAAGACUCAAAUUACUGCACUCACAAAUACGCUGCAUCCCCACACGGAUGUCUCCUCCCCAUUUCACCCCAAUUUUCCAGUUUGCUCUCCAAAAUCCACCUUGCGCUCGGAACUUCAUACUAUCGUUUUAUAACAGGAAAAUUCUACCCAAUGAACAUAGCAUGUAGCGGUCUACUGAAACGCAAUUGGUCAUGUUUUUGGAUCAAUCACGAAUGCUCUAACCAGAUUUUAGAGGUUUCCAUAAGGUUAGGGUUAAACGUGCUACACAUAGGAUUUAUUUUUGCAUUGUAAUUUCAGAAAAUGUGCAUAAUAUAUCUGCAGUAAUAAUGGAGUGAUAGUAUUUCUUACCCGCCAGUGUUGUGAUUCGCUGAUAUUCUCCUAUUGAUUUCUCCCCCCGGAGUGGCAUCAAAAUGGGUUCUGACUUUGUGGCUUUGUUAUCUAGUGGAAAUUGCUUUGUCACUUCCAAAACCGCUUUUGAAGCUGGUGGACGCAAACCAAAACUUUUGGUUUUGGUCCACCAGCUUCAAACAGCUGUAAAAAUGUUUAUUUUUAUUUUAUUGAAAAUAUUUUACUGAUGAUACAAUAAUUCCCUACACUAUUCAGUGCUUGAUCUCUCACAAAAACUGACAUUGAGCAAACAGUGUAGAAUUUUGCAACCAGGAAAUGACAGAGCGAUUCCACUAGAUACACAGCCAUAAAGUCAAAACAGCUUUCCCAUUUUGACAACAGAUGCCACUCCGGAGGGAGAAAUCAAUAGGCAAAUAUCACAGCCAAUCACAACACUGGCAGAUAAGUUCCAAUAUUACUGCAGAUAUAUUAUCGACAUUUUUGGAAAUUAGAAUGCACAAAUGAAUUUAAAAAAAAUGUAACACCUUUUAUGUUUAGGUUUAAAAUCAGAUUAAAUAGGCAGGGUUAAUGACUUUGGCUGUGCUAACUAGUAACCACCUAUUUUUGAGCACAGAAGAGGAAAGGGUGAACGAUGGCUGACAAUAAAGAGGUAAGUUUGAUCGUUUUUCAGUAGAGAAACUACUAAACCAACUAGCUUAGCUAAUCAACUAUCAUUUCAAUAUUGAAAUUGAAGUAGGUAGUUAUUUGGUAUUCUGUUUUAAUAGCAGGUUAUUAGGUUAACGAUAGUAGGUAGGAAGCUAACUAGCUAACCAUCUAGCUAACAUUUAACUCUGUGGUUUAACCAAAGAUGGUUUCGUUUUCUAUACCGUCUCUGGUUUAACUAAGAGCAUUGUAAGUCAACGAGUGGAUUAGUAGAGGAAGAGGACUUGGAAGAAUAGUAUGACUGGGAAGAAGUGGCAGAAGAGCGGGGAGAGGCAUGGUGAAAACAGACCACUGAAGUAUAAGAACAGACAGUGAGCACUCACGGUGGGAGAGGGCUAUGAUUGAGGAGGGGAAGUCGAGAGGUCAGGCUCCGAACCAAAUAAUAGCUAAUAUUGUAAAAUGCUAAGCGCAUACUUUAAAAUGAUUGAAUAGAUUUGAUCACUUUUAAUCUGUCAGUUUUUGUGCAGUUACAGUAAAUGAGAAUGACGUCAAAAACAAUUUUCUCUCCAUACCUCUUUCCAUGCAGGUCCACUGUCACUAAUAUGUGGUGGUGAAGUCCCAAUGGGCACAGAUGUCAAUUCAACGUCUAUUCCACGUUGGUUCAGCGUAAUUUCAUUGAAAUGACGUGGAAACAACGUUGAUUCAACCAGUGUGUGCCAAGUGGAGUUGUUCUUUGCUCAGCUGACAGACCGGAGAUACAGGAGCCCAUUCGGUUCCAAGUAGCUUACCUUGGCUCUCCUCUACCUACAGCACUCUGGGGACUUCCAGCAGUUGUUCUCAGGAGAUGGGUCAGUGUGCAUAGAGAGAACAUGUUCGACCAGGUGGAGUCAGGCUUCUACGUCAUCGCCCUGGACCACUACACCAACGAGGCAGAGGACACCAACUUUGGACCAAUGGCUCUGGCUUGCUGAUAACAUCUGAUGUGAUGAGACUCCCGAUGCGAUUUGACUCCUGUAUUACUGACUGGAUUCAAUAAAUCUUCAUUUGAGAUUCUGUAAUUGAUAGACAAUGGUAGUUCCCAAUCAGACAAUUACUAUAAAACAAAUCUGUUUUCCUCAGUUCAAUGUUUGGUGAAUGCAUGGCAUUGUUUUGUUCUCAGUCCUCCUUUUGAAUGCUGUGUGUAUUGAUUCAGUUCUAAACGACCUUUGAGUCCAUCCUCACCUCUUCUAUUACUGCAAUGGAUUGUCCGGUCUGCUGAGAGGGUCAUUGGCUACCACCUGCUCUCCAUCGUGGUACUGCAUAACUCCAAGGCAAGGAAGCAUGCAGGAAAGAUCAUCGCUGACCUCUUCCACCCCCUCUGGCAAACGGUUCAGGUCAAUCACGAUCAAAAUCUCCCACCACCUGAACAAUUUCUUCCCCCCGCGCUGUGGCCCUCACCAACCGGCCACCUGGUUCACAAUGAUCCUCUCAUCCGCAUGGACUUUGCACUAUUCAUCCACCGACUAUGCACCCUGCACUAUUCAUCCACCAACUAUGCACCCUGCACUAUUCAUCCACCAACUAUGCACCCUGCACUAUUCAUCCACCAACUAUGCACCCUGCACUAUUCAUCCACCAACUAUGCACCCUGCACUAUUCAUCCACCAACUAUGCACCCUGCACUAUUCAUCCCAGACCUGCACGACUCUUACAUUCAUCAUUUAGGCUGUAGUUUUUUAGCUUAGUGUUCAUACUGUAUGUGGAUCUGUGAAAUUCUGUGUAUAAUGUCUUUAUAUUAUGUUUAUCGUCUGUCUCUAUAUUCUGUUUAUUGUGGUAGCACCAUUUCACAGUUUGAGGAACCACAUUUUCACCAUAAAAAUGCACACCAUAAAAAUGCAUUUAUAAUAAAGCAUUUGCAGACUUA